rnacentral:rRNA from 1 species
UACGUAGGGGGCAAGCGUUGUCCGGAUUCAUUGGGCGUAAAGAGCGUGUAGGCGGCCAGGUAGGUCGGUUGUGAAAACUGGAGGCUCAACCUUCAGAGGUCGACCGAAACCAUCUGGCUAGAGUCCGGGAGAGGAGAGUGGAAUUCCUGGUUUAGCGGUGAAAUGCGCAGAUAUCAGGAAGAACACCCGUGGCGAAAGCGGCUCUCUGGAACGGUACUGACGCUGAGACGCGAAAGCGUGGGGAGCGAACAGG